rnacentral:rRNA from 1 species
GGGUCAGUAGGUCGGUCGUGCCACCGGUACGUACUGGUCUCACUGAUUCCUCCUUCCUGAAGAACCGUAAUGCCAUUAAUUUGGUGUUGCGGGGAAACAGGACUGUUACUUUGAAAAAAUAGAGUGUUUAAAGCAAGCUAACGCUUGAAUACAUUAGCAUGGAAUAAUGAAAUAGGACGAUCGACCCUAUUUUGUUGGUUUCUAGGAUUGACGUA